rnacentral:lncRNA from 1 species
UACUAGUCAUAUAUCAUUGUUCUUACAAUUUUUAUAUACCAUUCUUUCAUCACUUUUCAAUAUAUUAAAUCAUGUCAUUCAUGCAAUAAUAAUAUAUAAUUUUCAAUUCAAACAUAGCAUUGCAAUAUUAUUGACAUACGAACAUACCUCGACACGAAAAUCUAACCGUCAAUUUUCCAUUUUUCACCCGAUCUAGGUCCAGUCC